rnacentral:rRNA from 1 species
CGCGGUGAAUACGUUCCCGGGCCUUGUACACACCGCCCGUCAAGCCAUGGGAGCCGGGGGUGGCCUGAAGUUCGUGACCGCAAGGAGCGACCUAGGGCAAAACUGGUGACUGGGGCUAAGUCGUAACAAGGUAGC